GCAGCUGUAGGAGCCAGUGAUGG
rnacentral:miRNA from 1 species